CCCACCAAGCCUAAGACGGGUAGCCGGACUGAGAGGUUGAACGGCCACACUGGAACUGAGACACGGUCCAGACUCCUACGGGAGGCAGCAGUGGGGAAUUUUGCGCAAUGGGGGAAACCCUGACGCAGCGACGCCGCGUGGAGGAUGAAGGUCUUCGGAUUGUAAACUCCUUUUGUCGGGGAAGAUAAUGACGGUACCCGGCGAAUAAACCACGGCUAACUCUGUGCCAGCAGCCGCGGUAAGACAGAGGUGGCAAGCGUUGUUCGGAAUUACUGGGCUUAAAGGGCGCGUAGGCGGUGGAGUAAGUCUGAGGUGGAAGAUUAGGGCUUAACCCUAAAAUUGCCUUGGAAACUGCAUCACUUGAGUCAGCGAGGGGAUGGCGGAAUUCCAGGUGUAGCGGUGAAAUGCGUAGAUAUCUGGAGGAAGGCCGGUGGCGAAGGCGGCAUCUGGCGCUGAACUGACCUGAGGCGCGAAAGCGUGGGGAGCAAACAGGAUUAGAUACCCUGGUAGUCC
rnacentral:rRNA from 1 species